GUAAGCAUUUUAUAUUAUCCUCAUUGUGUAUAAAAAGUGCUCUCCAAAUAAAGACUGACUGAUCUGUUCGGAUCCCAACUCUCCGCAUUUUCUCAGUUGUUGACAUGUGAGGGGAAAAUCCCAUUACUAUGCUUGCUUCCUCCGCUGCUGGUUUUGAUUUCUUGAUAUUUGUUUGCAUCUAUGGUGCUUCUAAACCUUUUAAAGUUAGCGCAUCCUUUCGAACAGGGCUGAAGUGGCCCAUCUGGUGAAUCAUCACACGAGCUAGUGGAUGAGCACAAAUCCUUCAGCAAACACUGCAUCGAGGGAGAGACAGGGCCAAUGUAAUGACUUUGUCACCAAGAGGACAAGAGAUCAGCAUGUGCUCCACUGAUUCGAGUCCCGGGAUUAGAAACUAAGAAGAUGACUAAAGACGAGCAGAGACCUUUCAUUUAAACAUAUAUUUAAUCUCUUCCUUGAAAUGACAUUACACAUACAUAUGUAUGCCUGUUUAUUGUCAAAUGGUAUAUUUGUCACCCAUUUUUUUCUUUCACUUUUAUCAUUGUCAAAGUUAUGAUUGUCACAGAGUUUAAUAAACAGCUGGAAGAAA